ensembl:lncRNA
CUUGGUGCGAGUCAGAGUAGAGAUCUUUGGUCCUGAAUGAAAGCUCUGCAAACUGUGCUGUGAACUGUUUUAUUUGUACAAGUUUGUACAGCUUUUCAUCUUAAAGUUGUCGGUUCAUUGCUUCCGGAAGAAGAAGCAAUGGGGUGAAACUCUGAUACUGUUUAACAAAGCAACCUGUAUGUGUGAGUCAAGGCGAGGUCCUGGCUUUUCAGUUUGUUCCUGGCAUGCAAGGAAAUCCAAGAGAAAGCAGUCUUUCCUGAAUCAGGGCUUGCUGCUGAAUUUCCAGCCCUUAUUUUGGAAUAAGGACAGCUGACUGUCCCAGGGCUGUUUUAUGAGCAUAUCCUGGUUAUCGCUGUCAUGUGUCAUGAUUCAGGUCAAGGAAUCGAGGAUGAGACUGGAGAUAUGAGGGCAUGGCUGAGGCUGCCCGGCUGACCUGCUGGGCUGGAGCUGCUUGCAGAGGAGCACUGCCAAGGAAGGGUUUGUGACAUCUCCUGUUCUUUUUCUUUUAAGUGGUUUAUUUGUGUUUGUUUGUUUCUGUGUAUUUUUUCUCCAAAGAGUUGCUGACUUUGGGGGAAAAGAUAUCCCAUGACGAUCAGGAUCAACCUGCUUUGGCCACAUCUCUCACCAAGGCAUACAGAGAGCCACUUCAGGCUGCUGUCUGCACGAGGGAGGUUUGAUCUUUCAAAACUUGCUUUGUCAGAAUCCCUUUGCAAGAGAAGAGCAGUGAUUAAUGUUGAUGCCAAUUGCUGGAGAGGCCAUGGAACACCUGCCACUGCUUUCUUCCCACCAGCCAGCAAAGGAGGAAGGUGACUCAGGGAGGUGGGUACUGUGAGUGUUGGCUUCGCUGCUCUUCAGUGGAUGCUUUGCAGGUCGUUAUUAUGGGGAUGGUGGUCCAUGUGGUCCAAUGGCUGUUCUACCUACAGCAGGGGCAGAAGCCCACUUGUGCAGCAGCACUCCAGAUCUGCCACGUUAGAAGUCCACAAAGACACAGCACCUUUCAGAAAAUGAGAGUUGUAAAGGUAAGGGGCAGGCAUCAGCUCCGCCUCCUCCCCACGCCUGCCUUUAAUAUCUCAUUAUUGGCACUAAUGACUGAUUAUACGUCUCCAGUCUUUUGACCUUUAAUAAUUUCUGUACCAACAUGCUUUACUGCUUUCCGGGGGAAAUGUUAUCUGAAGUGUGAAAUUAACCAUUCUUUUGUUAUGAAAUCACCACUUGGCCAUCACCGCUGAAUAGUUUCAAACCUGAAACAUAUUUGAACUGUUUCCAAGUUCAUCUAGAGCGUGACCUUGUGUGUUUUAAUAAUUAUAAUUUCCUAAGUAAAGUACAACUCUAGAACCGGAGAAAAAAUGUGCAGACAGCUGCAGGGGUGGGGAGGGCUGACUGCAACGAUGAGCUCCACGAAUACAGCAGGAGGAAGGCCAUAAAUCUCCAAAAUCAAAGUGCCUUCUCAUUUUAACCCCUGGUGUGCGGCAGUGCUCCGGUGAUCCAAAGGAGCAGAGCUUCCCGCGGGCUGCCCUGCUGGCAACAGAAGUGGGAAAUGUGCGGGGAGAAUGAGGAAGAGGAGGAGAAUCAUCAGGUUUUAAGCUGAUCUUCCUUUCCCCAGAGAGCCGCUCUGGUUUCAGAUUUUUAUCUCUGGCAUAGUGGUGUAGAUCAGCUGAAAGCAGCAGGAUUUGCCCCUGCAGAGACGUGAGCGGCACUCAGGCGCACAGCCGCGGUAUGCGUGCACAUGUGAGUAAUACCAUUGGAAUCAAGGACUUGAAAGAGGAGCGCGCACAUGAGUAAUGUUUUGUAGAUACAAGGGCUGGAAUCUGGGCCACACGGCUCAGGACAAAGAGACGUGUCAGUUCUGCAUAAAUAACACAGGCAUCCAGCUUCAACACCACAACCUGCUUAGCAGGGCGAAAGUCACCCUUUCCAACCCACUUCCAGGAGAGCCAGGACUGAGCAGGAGGUCACCUUCUGAGCCAUGGAUGAGCCCAGGUGCUGAGUGCUCCGAAUGCCCAGCGCUGCAAGCUCAGCUGGGGCAAUGGAUGGAACCUCGCUGUGCAAGAGAGGGAGUGCCAUGUUUUGUGCUGCGGCUUUCUUGGAAGGAGAGCCUGCUGCAGCCCUGCUGCAGGGGAAUGUGGACCACAGCAGGAGGAAAUAGCCUCUGUUUCUCCUCCAGGCACUUUCCCUCUGUGUAACAAUCACCUCUUAAAGCCUCAAUGAAACAGGGUUAAAAAAAAAUAAAAGGAGAGAGCCAGAGCGACAGACCACCCAGGUCAGGGUGCGUUUAUCAGGCAUGCAUCACUCCGUGCAAUGUAAGGCUUCUCUGAGGCACUUCUGGGAGAUUUGACCAGCAAUAUGACUAACACAACACUUGGCAAAGCAAAGACUAAUAGUGUGAUUGUUCUGCCGGCUUCUCCCCUUCUCGAGUAAUAUCGUGCUGAGCAGCGUUCGAGUUAGAGAUCUGAAAGGCCUUUUCAUUAUUGUAUCGAAAACUCCUCUGACUGCAGAUCUCUUAAUCAAAGGACUUUUAUGUAAAGUCACAUUUUUUCCAAAACCAGAAAAGUUCAGGCUCAGAGCAUAAACAUUAGACUCAUUAUUUAGAAAUAGCAAGUAAGUCCUCUGGGUUCUGGUAUCAGAUCAAAGCUAAAAAAUUAAAUUGCUAAAAAAAAAAAGGAAAAAAAUAAGCUCAUUUUGGGGAUCAGCAUAUUUCUUGUUUGCUUUUUAUUAUGGAGCUAAAAAAAGGAAUAGUGAGAUUCUGUCGGUGGUUUUCAAGUGUUUUCCAAAACUGGAAGGGUGCUGCAUGCUGAGCACUUCCACAGUCUGUGGAGGCAGAAAAUAUUUUGUUGACAUGACAAUAAAACCAUUCUGCACUUAUCGCAUUGUUUUCCCCUCUGUUCAUAGCCACAAGCGAGCAGCGUGAGCACCGUGCUCCUGAGGAAGAGAAACCUGUGUUUGGCUGUUGGUGCCUCUGGGAUGGAGGCUGGAGCCUGCCCUGAUGCAUCAAGGAAGAGUUCCCAUCCAGGCUGUGGGCAAUUGGGCACUGCCUUGGCCAGCGUGUGGCCCAACAUCAUGCUGCUGUGCCGAGGGAAUCGCUGCCCAGUGGUAACCAGAGGCAAAGAUAACUAGCUUAUUGUUAAGAGUUCUAGACCCACAUCUCCAGUUGCCAAUGCUUUUUCUCUCUUCUCCCUGCUCAUGGCAUCUGCCUGCUUUUUCAGGCUGUGGACACACGCACUGGGAUGGGCUUUUGGUGCAGAGGUCAGUGGAUGUAGGAAUGGAGGAGAGCCAUGCACGUAGGGCAGCUACCAGUGCUGUCUCCAUCCAGGGCAAAUUCCACUCUGGAGACCUACAGCAACAAUUCCCACCACCCCCGAGGCGCUGUCUCCUACGCUGACCAUGGGGCACCUCAGGAGAUGGCAGAACCAAGGACUGAUGUUUGGGGUUGCUUUUUUUUUUUACUAUUUUCUUCCUGACUCAUUUCCCCAACCAAUAACUUACUGCGCUCACAAGCGAAAUAAGAACAGCUCCAAUUCCUGCUGAUGUCUGUGAGCUUUGCACGUGGCUCCAAGAGAGGUGGGACUAUCGUAGAAUACCAAAGCAAGCGGAUUGCUGAGGGCUCAGGAAUGGCAGAAAUGCCCUCAUGCGUUCUGUUUGUGACACUGCUGCUAAUUGGAGUUGCUUAAUCACACAGAGAGGCAGCUUCAGAGUAGCUUUACACCAGUCCUUCAGAUGUUUCCCUUAUCUCUGAUUUUCUGUGGCCUGCUGGGCUUUUUCCUAGUUGGUUUUCUGUCACCUAGAAAUUGCUCAGAGUGUUUAUUCCUCAGGACAUUUGAGUUUUCUCCAUGAUUCAGCCACAGACUCCUUGCUUGCCUGUCAUAAGACAUUCAAUCUUUUCAUUUCUAAGGUCCCCAUCUGUAUAGAGAGGCCAGAAAUGAGAGAAAAACAGGCAUAGUAGGGCUAGCUACAUACAGAUCCUCAAGUGUUGAGGGGACAUGCAGUUUCUUAAAUGAAUUGGUCACAUGAUACCGUUUUGGGGGGGUUUAUUUUGGUUCUUUACUGGGUAAUUGAAGCUUCAUAGACAUUAGGAAUCUGAAAAAUGCAUAUCAGUUACUUAUGUACAAACAGCUUUCUCACAGCAAUCUGGGGUUCUCGUAGGGGAGAGAGCCCUUCUAUGAGCACUGCAGCAAACAACCACCUGUUUCCACAAGUGUAAUGAUUCCCACAGCUAGAAUGAAGAGUUGAUAUUCAGGAUAUAAACACAGAUUUUCCAUCUCUACAUUGCAACAUUAGCUGCGAUGCCCACCAUCAAACCUUCUCCACCAAGAAACACACCUAUUUCUCUACAUUUCUAAGCUUUCCAAAUGACCACCCCCUUCUCCAUUUAAUAAGAUCUGCAUUCCUCUGGCUUAGCUUCUACUUUUGCGAUGGGCUUGGCACCCAAAGACAUGUGUUCAAGUAGUAGGAAGCCCAAGGAUGCAGGUGGAUGAACUUGGUCCUCUAGCUGCUAUCCAACAGGAGAUGCAUGGUCAUCAAACUCAGCCCCACAGCAAGUGAAAGGCUCCUGCUACAGUGAGGGGAUGUAAUUGGACCUUGUAAGCUCUGUGACAUGGGAACCAAUUACACAGAAAUCCAAGCUUUGGCAGGCAAGUCUGCACUCUGGCGCUAGCUGGUCUCCAGCAAACGGCUGCUGUACGCAUGGUAAAGGUUAAGACUCAGCUGAUGCAGAGUUGGCAGCUGCACUGAGUCCUUUGGCAUUAACAUGCCAUCUUGGGUAAGGAAGAACAAUAGAUAAGUGCCUUCUGGCAGCCCGCUUCCAUGCUCCCAUUCAGCCCGUGACAUGUUCUUUGGGGAAGCGUUACUUGAGAAAGCAAAAGAUAAAUCAGUGUAUGGUAGGAAAAUAGCAGGAAGCUUUGGCUCAAGGCAGGCAGCUAAGGGACAGCAGAGUCCAAGCUUAUCUGCCAGUUCAAUGAAAUGGCACGGUACUGUAUAUUAAGCAAGGGAAAAGAAAGUAGUGCUGGCAUGGUGAAGAGAGACUGAUGGAAAGAACUGGACUCAAGGAGGAAUGGGUGGUUCUUUCUUAUAUGUCCUUUCCUUAAUUACAUGCAAUGCAGUCCAGUGAAGAUCAGAUCACUUUCCGCAACAGUGAGGGUUGAAGAUGGAUGGGCACGGCAGGUUGGUGCUGGAAGCCAAGUGAGCAGCUGGCUAAAGCCCGUAUAGUCAAGGGAGCUCAGUGCUGGCCACCCAGGGCCUGGCCAUGGAAUGACCCUCAAGCUCCUCUGCAGUGAUAAGAGCGUCACUUCCACACUGCUGCCCUCAUGCCAUAGAAUCAUAGAAUCGCCUGGGUUGAAAGGAACCACAAUGAUCAUCUCGUUUCAACCCCCCUGCUAUGUGCAGGGUUGCCAACCACCAGACCAGGCUGCCCAGAGCCACAUCCAGCCUGGUCUUGAAUGCCUCCAGGGAUGGGGUCAUUGCAGAGAAGCUGCUUUUGAGGAAAUGGGAACACCACCAACACAAACUGCUCUGGUUUGAACUGUUAAUGGACUUUCAGACACCAUGAAAGGCAGAAGGGCAGUGUGCUUGUGGCGGAAACCAUUCUCUCCUUUCUCACAGUGAGAGGGAAAGGACAGCGCUAAAGAAAUGUGAUUUUGUGUUUGAAGGAAACAAUCAACCUAUUUUUCUCUCUAUAAGGGAGCAAAAUGGCCAUAGCUGCAAAUUAAUCCAGCAGUCCACAUCAGAUCCAGGAAGAAAAUAAUUUUGUUUUGUUUUCAUCACACAUUUCAGCAAUUAAGGAUUAGAAAGCAUUGGUUUUAAAAGGGAAACACUGUAAGGUUUUAUGACCUUAUAGUUAAAACCAUAUGACUGUCUGUAAAGAUAGAAAUAAGGACAUUAAGAAACUUAUAACGAGAAGAACUUAGGACUCUAGUCUCCAGGACAGCCUAAGAAUUCUGGUUCUCCGAAACUCUGACGUGGCUAUUGAAGCCCAAGCUUUGCCUUUCGGUCCCCCUCUUGUUCCUUGCACACCUGGAGACCUGGCCUUUGCUCUUUGCCUCUGUGUCCUGAGCAAUUUUCAUACAUUUCUGGGCUACAGUCUCUCUCUGUUUCAUAUCAGAACCUAUCUCUUCCCUUCCAUAUCUACACUUCUAUAGCAUCUCUUUUUACUGGUAUUACUUACUCCUAAUAACUGUAAUUACAUUAUGGAUCCCUGUCAAGCUUCUAGGAACAAAGCUUGGAUGAAGAAUUCUAUACAAAAUAGACCUCUAUCACAGGAAAUUUGCACCAUGGCAAAGAGACAAGGAAGUUGUUUGAUCAUUACUUUUAUCUAGAACAAAUUGCACAUAAUAGCAUAAUAAUAUUUUCUACCAGAUUCUGUUUCUCAGACAAGCACAAUUUCUUUCUCUUUUUUUUUUUUUUUUUUGGUAAAUUAAUCUGCAUUUAACUGAAUCAUCUAUGUAUAUCUGAGUCCCCAAAAUGAGAUACUUAAAUGUGCAUUAAAAAAUAAACAAAUGAGUAAUUCACUGAAUGCAGUCCUUGUUUCACUGCCCUUGACAUAGCCCUAGAAACUCAAAACUUUCGUAUUGACUUAAGAUAAGUGCCAUAAGACCAUUAAACAAUCCAUUGUUCUUAUGGUACCCAAUAAUCUAGUCUUUUUAUUUAAAUAUGAUAGGAAGUAAUCCCAGAGCCAAUGAAAGCAUGGAACCAACUAGGUGUAACGUUCCACAAAUGCUAUAUUGCAUGGAAGAGUUCAGCUCCUUAUCUGGAAAACAGUUGGCUGUGACCCUAUUAAACAAUUAUAUAUUAUCAGUUUUACUUGGCAACAUUUAUGUGUCAAAAUGUGUCAUGGGUUUCACAGCUUAGUUCCAGAAAUAGACUGUGAUCUGGGUGACAUCAUACUUCUCAGUAAAACCCUUUUUUUCACUUUUCUUCCUUUCAUAACCACUUGUGUUCCCGGUAUUCCCAGCCCCACGCUGGGUGCGCUCAGGCCAGCAAGAUGGAACAAGCCCUUUCCACAAUUUGGCUCCAUGGCACUUCAAAUGGGUUGAACAGUUUACCAAAACAGUGCUGGUCACCUGGUGACAAACAGGAACCUUGGUGGCUCCUCUAUGGCAGAGCAGGAAAAACACGGGAACUUUGGUGAAGACUGUUUAUAGCAAUAACCACUGCGCAAUGAAGAGACACCAAAGACUAUCAAUGAUUGAAUGGGGCUGGCGGUUCACUUUGUGAUGUAAAGGGAUAAGAAUGUGUUACUGGGAGGUGCAACUCCCGUAAACUCAAACAACGUCCAUGGAUGUACUGCUCAGAGCGCUUGGCCCGAGGCACAGGGGACAUGUCGGAUGGUGAAAGAUUAGGAAAAGCUACAAGCGGGGAGAGCUGAAAGUCUCCUCUCAGAAGCUUAUUGGGAUAUUUAAACAGUAAGUGACUGGAUUCUUAAAUGCAAAGUGGGAGAAAGUGGCAUUGUGAAACUGCAUUGCAAAAUCCUAUUAAGUCAAAGUUGCAAACAGCUACGCAACUGUCUGUUGUGUCGGAGCAGGAAGCCUGGGCACCAUUUUAAUGAGUCAUGAUCAAACAUCAUGCUGUCAUCUCAAUUUUUUCUCAAGUGCAUAUCAGGAAACAGAAAUGAAUUCUAGAGUUUUUAGCAUUCAAAGAAGAAAGUGCAUAAAGUUUUCCGCUCUCUGUAUGCUAAUCCUUUUCUUCAAAAUAUUAAGGGUGCGAUAUAAUUAAAAAUGUAAAAGGAGUUACCAUAGUAAACUCGAGGUCUUCAUGAACUAACCCACAGACCACAGCAUUUUCCUUUAUUUUGAAGCAUAACUCCAUUUUACCUCGCAAAUGUAGACAAACAUCCUCCAGGUUGUAAGCUGAAGGAAAUACGUAAGAAAGGAAAACAAAUUAAAAGAAGACAUAUGAAAAGUUUUCUCAGAAUCACUCAAGAAAAUUAACUUGAAACAACUAACCUACAUGUGGGAACAGAGUACUUCUACCACAUUAAACUGCAGGGCAACAGAACUCAAGUUUUAGCUAUUCCGGUAUUUAUUUAAUUUACUUUGGAAAUGAAUUAAGCAAUGGCGAAGUUAAGGCAUUUUCAUCACAAGCUGAAGAAAAGCUGAAUAAUGUACCUCAAGGUUUUUGAGUUUCUUUUGGAAGCUCCUUUGAGGCUCUUCAUACAAACUGCUCUUCAGUGGUCAGUCAGCACCUGGAUAUGGAGCGCUCCUGUCAGUUCCUAUAGCAGUUUGGAAGCAACAGUGGCUUUUUCUGCAACACUGAGAAGCCUAAAAUAAAGACAUAUUUAGGAAUUAAUUGUGUUUUCUCUUUCUUUACCAUUUCUUCUUUUUUUUUUCUUCAAAAGACAGAAGCAAAAUAAGAAGGAGAGAAGGGUAAAAGGGUAAAAGCACAGUGGAACUACAGAACAAACAAGAUGGCAAAAUAACAAAACUAUUUUUUAAUAAGCUGGGAAUUUGCCUCAGUAUGCAGUUCUUGGAGGAGAGGCGGCUCUGCGAGCUGGCCAGGUUCCCCACCGCACACAUAUGGACACCUGGAAGGAGAGGCAAAAUGAGCUUUACUCUUGUGCAACCCGAAGGUUACAUUUCUGUGACAAGUCUAAGUACUUCUUAUUAAGGAAAGGUUGAAAGACUGCAGAAAUGAUAAACAUCAGUUUUCAGUGGUGCAGUGAUAAACAGGCAUCAAAUAGGGAUCUUUAUUCUCCCCACAAAGAAUAACUGCUUACACCGAUGGGCUACACUGCUGGAAAGCUGUGUUUGAGAGGGGAAUCCAACAGGAGAAAAUAGAAUAUACAGAGAAAAGCACUGGAGAUGUGGAGGGAGAGCAGAGGAAAAAAAUGCUAUAAAUAAAAGCUAUUUGAAUUGAACUGUUCUUGAUCUUUAAUGAAUGAUGUUUCCUAAAGGCAAGAGAGGAACAAGAACUGUGAUGAGGGAGACAAACAUCCUCUAAAGAUCCAGGAGGUAUUUCCCAGAGUCCCAGCCCUGAGGCUGAAUGGGGACAGGGCUGGACUUGCCCAAGGAAAAGCCCAAAGUGAAGGAGAAACACUAUAAAGUGCAAAGGAGAGGAGAGGCAUCGUACUCUCACUGGGGCUGAGCAAGGGGUAGAGGAGGAUCAGGCACUAAAUGUUGCUCAUGUGUCAACUUGUUCUUCUAAACAAAGCACCUUCAAUCUGUAAUGAUUUUAGUGGCCUUUCUAAACCCCAGUUCAUAGGUUGUUAAUUCUCUAGCAUGACUUUUGUUUUUAUCUAUUGCAUGGAGGCCAGGACUGGCUGUGAAGCUGAUGGGAGGGAGCUCUGGAGCAGCACAGCAUCCCCUGGGAGGUGACACAGAGCGUGUGGCAGCCACACAGUGGUAUGGGGGCCAGGAGGGGCUGGGCAAAGGGACUGCAAGCACUGCUUACUGACCAGCUUUCCUUUAGGAGGACCUGAGUUACAACUGAAGACCAUCAAUUGGCCUUUGUCACUUCAUACCUUUCAGUGGCAUCUCUGGAAACUCUUGAUGGUGAUGUCUGUAGCAAACAAGCCUUGGUUAAUGAAGCAAUAGCUGAAGAGCUGAUCUGCUCCAUCUGAGUCAUGGGUGCUACGAAAUGCGCUUGUCUUGUUUGUCAUCUCCUCUUGUUGGGAUCCAGCAGAGAGGUCUCCCUUUGGGCAGGCACACUGGAAGUAGACAGUCAGCACUUCCUGCAGCUUUCAUAGAAGAUGAAUUUCUAGAAACACAUGGGAGAGUGGGGAAAUCUGGGGCCUUCUUAACACACCGCAAAGGAAGGAGGGAGGAGUAUUUCUCCCCCUAUCCUUGCAGAGAUUCUCCUUAAAAAACAGAGUGGUUCUAUUUUGGCAAAGUAUGUGCUAAUGUAUGUGGAAGUGCGUCACUCUGCUAGAUUUCAUCCACCACUUGCGACAUUUGUUUCUAAAGGGAAAUGUGUUUUGCCAUCACAGCUUACGGCAGCACUAUUCCUUGUCCUCAUUCUCACACUCCAUGAGUAGCAACAACAUCAACGCAAACAGCAAGGCAGCUGUGAUGGGGCAGCAUGGGAUUAUCUGAAGGCAAUUUGAAACAUUGCUAACAUUGAUUUAGAAGAACAAAAGGAUGUUUCUGCUGACCUAAUUGCUGGAGCUUGCAACAUUCCAUGUUGGAGUAGCAGAGCACCUCCAGCCCAUGCAUGCUCCCAUGCUGGAUGACUUAUUCAUACCAGAAGCAGAGCUGAAAGGGACAGGCAGCAGCACUCAUGAUCUGCCAUGAACAUCGGAUAUGUGCGGUCACAAGCAUCCUGUCCUUGGAUGUCACAAGUCAACAUGUGUUUGAGAAAUGCAUUUUCUUGCCACGUCUGUUGACUUUUCAGAACAAGUUGCACAGAUGAUCACCUUUCUUUUCUAAAAAAAGGAUUGUGUUGUAGCCAACAUUGCUAUAAGAGCUCAGGAACAAAUAAAUGUGUGGCACACCUCCAAGGGGUUUUCCCUCACUUUCUCACAAUUGACAAAGAAGCUAAUGUUGUUUAAGAGUAAGGCAGGAUGACAAAUCCAUGCAUGUGCUCUACUUCGUAGCUGUCUGAGCCUGCUGCUGCAGAGUUUUCUUAGAAACGACAGCAUUAUUAUAUGUUUCCUGGCAGAGACAGUCUAAAUUGGUGCCCAUUUUCUUCACUCUGCCCUGGGAACUGUAAGAAAAAAAUAAUCAAUUGUACCCCAGAUGGAUUAAAGGAGGAAAUAUCAGCUAAAACGUUGGAAAAGCUGGUUGACAAGCGAAAAAAAAUAAAUUAAAACAAUAAUUCAAACUUACCAGUGGACAGAUUUCUUUUGUAGUUUCAUAAGUGGAUGUAAUGCUGGAAUAAUCUCAGCAGAGUAAUUGUGAUCUCUUAUGCCAAAUUGUAUCCCAAAUUACUUCAGUUUAUUCAACAGCAUUACUUAGGAUGCCUACCAGCUCAGAGUAGUUGAGCGGGGGUUGAUUUUGUAGAAGUCUGACAUACACAUCCAGCAGAGGAAAUCUUAGCCAACUAGAAAAGACAGAGAUGUGCCCAUCAAACAUUCACAGUCUUAAUCUUUUUUGGGAUGAUCCUAAUAGCAGAUGAGCAAUUAGUUUACUCCAUCUCUCUGGGGAAUCAGUAGGGCCUGUAUGUAAAGGAAGCCGAGCUGCAGCAUGGAAAGAUCCCACUGCAGACAAAAGAACUUCCCCCUGCCUUGUUAGCUGAUCUUGCAUGUCUAAAAUUUCCCAAGGUUAGGGAGGCAGGCUUGAAAGUUAAUCUGGAAGGGCUACAAGGAGUUUGCAGUGGAAGUGCUACUGUGAAGUUAUGAUCUGAUAAGAAGGAGAGACAAACCAGAGCCGGCUAACAGCUCGCUUCCUCCUCCUGGUUCUGUCACUUACCUCUGGCUGCCCUUCUCCCAGAUUGUGUGUUAGGACAGAGAAAUAUGAAUUUGUGAUUGCAUGAAAACUCCUUGUAACCUCUGACAACAUUGCUGGCUUCUCACAUCUUAGAAACCUACUUAAAUUACAAUAAAACACUCCAAAAGUUCCCCCCUCUUGCUUCUGCUUCCUGUAAUUAGAAUUAUGCUCUGCCCUGACUCUCAUAACAACUGUGGGCUUAUUAUUUUUCCACAAGUCAAACCGAUCUUGCCAUGGAAGAACCAUGGCUAUGUGAGAAAGAGCAGCACUGAGAGAGCUGGAGGAGAGUUUACACCUAAAAGAAAGAUCUCAUAGCAUCACUACUGGGAUUUGAUGAGGAGCAAUGAUCUUUCACGCUUUUACUGAAGAGCAGAAUAUGUCCUUGGAUGCUUCUGUGGGAUGGAACCACCUGGACAGAGUGGUGGGAAGCUGUGCAAGGUGACCCAGCUUGAGUAAGAGUUCUCCAGCAGUCCCUUCCAACCUCAACUAUUCCAUGGCUCUGUGAACUCAAUACCUGACCUUGUUGUGUUCAAUCUGUGCGAUUUCUCAGACCCUCCAUUAUUGAUCUUAUGUAUUAGAAGAAAAGAAGAGCUUCUUGCCUUACACAUAGCUUGUGCUGAGACAGAUCAUUGAAUCUGGUGUCAUUCUCCAUUUUGCUCAUCUCUUUUUUUUUUUUUUUUUGAGGGGAGGUGGGAAACAGGGACUCUCAUUAUUUCUAUUUUGUUUCCUGAGGCCAAACAUCUCAUACCAUUUUUUUUUUUUUCCCCCCUCAGUUUUACACUGGCAGUUUUCCCAUUGACACACUGGGUGGUAACUUAGGCCCCUGAAUUCAAAUUCCCACUUGGGCUCAAUGAAGCCAUAAUUUCAAUCAGCAUCUCCUGCCAAGUUGUCCUACCCCUACUCUAAUAUUUAGGUCUCUUUAAAAUGUCAUGUAGGUCCCCUAAAGCUUCUCUUCCCACUGAAACAUCUGAUUAAGGAAGAUCUGGUCUUUGACUCUUGUCUUGGGGGAAAAAAUAUUACCUGAAUUCAAAGGGAUGCAUAUUUGAAAGACUGAAUAUUUUCUUAGAUGAUCUGGUCUGAUCUACCAUAUGACUCACUCCAUGUCAUUUCUGCUAGGGAGUUCUCUAACUUCUUGAUUAAAAAAAUGUCUUAUCUGUAGGCAUCUAGUCACCAUCUGAAGACUUCAGGAGACAGACGGUUAAGCAGCACUCCUCCAUCCCUUUGCUGCAAUUUUCUUCUUGGCUUUCGUUCUGUUAUGUC